GUAGCGUGAAGGAUGACUGCCUAUGGGUUGUAAACUUCUUUUAUACGGGAAUAAGUGAGGCACGUGUGCCUUUUUGUAUGUACCGUAUGAAUAAGGAUCGGCUAACUCCGUGCCAGCAGCCGCGGUAAUACGGAGGAUCCGAGCGUUAUCCGGAUUUAUUGGGUUUAAAGGGAGCGUAGGCGGACGCUUAAGUCAGUUGUGAAAGUUUGCGGCUCAACCGUAAAAUUGCAGUUGAUACUGGGUGUCUUGAGUACAGUAGAGGCAGGCGGAAUUCGUGGUGUAGCGGUGAAAUGCUUAGAUAUCACGAAGAACUCCGAUUGCGAAGGCAGCCUGCUGGACUGUAACUGACGCUGAUGCUCGAAAGUGUGGGU
rnacentral:rRNA from 1 species